GACGAACGCUGGCGGCGUGCUUAACACAUGCAAGUCGAACGGAAAGGCCCUGCUUUUGUGGGGUGCUCGAGUGGCGAACGGGUGAGUAACACGUGAGUAACCUGCCCUUGACUUUGGGAUAACUUCAGGAAACUGGGGCUAAUACCGGAUAGGAGCUCCUGCUGCAUGGUGGGGGUUGGAAAGUUUCGGCGGUUGGGGAUGGACUCGCGGCUUAUCAGCUUGUUGGUGGGGUAGUGGCUUACCAAGGCUUUGACGGGUAGCCGGCCUGAGAGGGUGACCGGCGACAUUGGGACUGAGAUACGGCCCAGACUCCUACGGGAGGCAGCAGUGGGGAAUAUUGCACAAUGGGCGGAAGCCUGAGGCAGCAACGCCGCGUGCGGGAGGACGGCCUUCGGGUUGUAAACCGCUUUCGCCUGUGACGAAGCGUGAGUGACGGUAAUGUGUAAAGAAGCACCGGCUAACUACGUG
rnacentral:rRNA from 1 species